GUGCUAAGGUAGCAUAAUAAUUUGUCUUUUAAAUGAAGACUAGAACAAAAGAUUAAACAUUUUAAUUUAUUUAUUAAUUCAAUUAUUAAAAUUUUCUUAAAUGUAAUAAGACAUUUAUUUAUAAGAAAGACGACAAGACCCUAUUGAACUUAACUAAAGUUUAACUGGGGCAGUUAACUAAUUAAUAUUUUAGUAAAAAUUAAAAAAAGAUUAUCUAAUUUUAUUAAAUAAACAAGUUACCAUAGGGAUAACAGCGCAAUAAUUUUUAUAAGAUCUUAUAUAAAAAAAAGAUUACGACCUCGAUGUUGAAUUAAUAAUCUAUUAUAUGCAGUAAUAUAAAAAGAAAGUCUGUUCGACUUUUAAAAAAUUACAUGAUUUGAGUUCAAACCGGUGUAAGCCAGGUUGGUUUCUAUCUUCUUAACAAUUAUAUUAGUACGAAAGGACCAUAUAAUAUAAUAUUAUUAUAUUAAUGGCAGAUUAAUGCAUUAGAAUUAGAAUCUAAUUAAAAAACA
rnacentral:rRNA from 1 species